rnacentral:lncRNA from 1 species
UAGUCAAAAAUAAUUAAAUUAAAAGUAAUUUUCUUUAUUUCUUAAAUUGAUUACAAACAGUAAACACAAAAUAUCAUGAUUUUAAUUUUAUGAUUUAGAUUAUAAAUCAAAAUGUUUAUUUCAAACAAAUAAUAAAAUUACAAAAUGAUUCUUUUAUCAGAUUAAUUAAUAAAAAUAAAUAAAAUACAUAUAUGGAAUUCGAUAUAGUGAAAAGCAUAGUCGACGGCGAGUUUGAGGAUCGAGGUGAACAGAAGCUUCGUGUUUGUUGAUGCGGUGGUGGUGAAAGGCAUAAGCUUCGAGAUCUGUUGGUGAUGAACAACGACCGAAGCUUCAAGAUCUGGUGGUCGGACGCUUCAAGAUGCAGUGGUGGUGAACGGCCAAAGGUCAGAUAUGGUGAACGGUCAUAGGUGAGAUGUGGUUAGCAGAAGUUUAAUAAUCUGGGUAAGGAGGUGAGAGAAGACAAAAAAGAAGAAGGAGAAGAAGAAUUGUUGAGAUGAAUGGGUGAGUAUUUGUCUUCAUGUUUCGUUGAAGAAGAAGAAAAAGAAGAAGAAGAAGAGAAAGGAGAAUUAGAAGGAGAUGAUUUCGUCCGUUAGAUCUAAUCUAUUAACGAUGGAUAUUAAAACAACACUGCUAUCCUUGUGUUCAUGAAUCAGCCAAUGAGAAGCUUCACAAUUUUUAACUCAAUAAAACUUAAAUAAUCUUUAUAACCAAUAUUAUUAUUUCAUUUUGAUUAAAAGAAAGGAAAAAAACCAAACAAUUCUCGAUUUUAUUAUUUUUACUCAUUUUAAGAAUUGGGAUUUUAGGAUUUGAAACUGAUUAUAUUAGAUUUACAUUUUAAAAUAAUCAAAUUUAGGCUUAAAUUAUAUUUUUUAGAAUUUAAGUUUUUGAUGUAUACAAUAUUAUUAUAAAUUCAUUUGAUUAAAAAAUUUAGAUUUUUAAAUAAUCAAA